rnacentral:lncRNA from 1 species
GAAAAGCCAAGACGAUUGCAGUAAGUAUCUAUCCUUUGAAGGAUUCUAGGUUUGGUCUCCCUUAGUUCAUACUCAAUCCUCAUAACAUGCUUUCUUGAUUCGCUUCAGAACAUUUUUGGGUUGACUUAGCCCUGUAGGUUAUCCUCUACUUCCUUGCUUUCAAAGAUAACAUGAUUUAUAGUAUCAUAUAACUUGCAUGUAUUAUGUGUCACAAAUUAAUAUUCUUCAAGUUCCAGUUUCUGUAAAGCAUGUGAUCUAGGAGCUCGGUAGAAUCAUUUCCAUAUCGAAUCAGAAGUUUAUUUAUCCGAUGUUAAUUUUCAGCAGCUUUGUCGAGUGGGGAAACACAUGCUCAGGAAACCAGCAUCCCUGAAGUGCUUGAUCAUCAGCGACUGUCAAAUCAAGGGAACUCCCAUUUUCAGGCACAUGAUUCAUCAUCCCGUGUAGAUUCUGGAUCCACUGAGAGGAUGGUAAGAGUUUUUGCACAGAAUGUAUCGUUAAAUUCGUGCUCCCUUGUUGUGGCAUCAACUAGUAGCUGUUUGGCUGUUCAAAUUUGUGGCUACAGUUGGUUUCUUGUGGGUUGUGUGUGUUCUCCACAUAUACGAUUUCUUUAACGUCUUUGGUUUUAUUAUUUACUCGUGGUUCACUGAUAUGUAUCACAGGAUGUUACAAGCAACUGUACAGCUGACUUGGAAACCAUUUUUUCACCUGCUUUGGAGCCCAUUGGUAUUUAUA